GGGGAAUUUUCCGCAAUGGGCGAAAGCCUGACGGAGCAAGACCGCGUGGGGGAAGAAGGUCUGUGGAUUGUAAACCCCUUUUGACAGGGAAGAAAUUUUGACGGUACCUGUCGAAUCAGCCUCGGCUAACUCCGUGCCAGCAGCCGCGGUAAUACGGAGGAGGCAAGCGUUAUCCGGAAUUAUUGGGCGUAAAGCGUCCGUAGGUGGUGAUUCAAGUCUGCUGUUAAAGCAUGGAGCUUAACUCCAUAUCGGCAGUGGAAACUGAAUUGCUAGAGUGCGAUAGGGGCAAGGGGAAUUCCCAGUGUAGCGGUGAAAUGCGUAGAUAUUGGGAAGAACACCGGUGGCGAAAGCGCCUUGCUGGGUCUGCACUGACACUGAGGGACGAAA
rnacentral:rRNA from 1 species